rnacentral:rRNA from 1 species
GACGAACGCUGGCGGCGUGCUUAACACAUGCAAGUCGAACGGAAAGGCCCUGCUUUUGUGGGGUGCUCGAGUGGCGAACGGGUGAGUAACACGUGAGUAACCUGCCCUUGACUUUGGGAUAACUUCAGGAAACUGGGGCUAAUACCGGGUAGGAGCUCCUGCUGCAUGGUGGGGGUUGGAAAGUUUCGGCGGUUGGGGAUGGACUGGCGGCUUAUGCGCUUGUUGGGGGGGUAGUGGCUUACCAAGGCUUUGACGGGUAGCCGGCCUGGGAGGGUGAACGGCGACAUUGGGCCUGAGGUACGGACCAGACUCCAACGGGAUGCAGCAGUGGGGAAUAUUGCGCAGCAGGCGGACGCCAGAUGCAGAAGCGCCGGGUGCGGGAUGCCCGCCUUCGGGUUGUAAACCAAUUUCGCCGGAGAUGAGGCGUGCGUGACGGUAAUGAGUAAGAAAGCACCGGCUAACUACGUG